CUUCGGAAUAAGGAUUGGCUCUGAGGACCGGGGCGUGUCGGGUUUGGAGGGGAAGCGGAUGCGGCCGGUGCCGGGCCUGGUCGAUGCCCGUUCACGCGGGCGGACUCUGGGCCCGCGCUCCGGCGUUCCGCGGAUCCUCCUAGCCGUAAGGCCGUGUCGGUUUCGUCUCGUGC
rnacentral:pre_miRNA from 1 species